GGAAGGCGGAAGCAGACGCAGCCAGCCGCAGCCAUGACAAGCAGCAUGUGAAGAUGCAGAGUGACGCAGCAGCAGCAGCAGCAGCAGCAGCAGCAGCACACAGGAUGACUGCACUGAAGUCCUCCUCUCACACAGGCAACAGCAGCUCAGCAGGCUGGGAAACCCCAAGAGAACUUCCAAGAUUAAUUCAUGCUCCGUUUUCAAUACAGUGCCAACAUAAAGCGAGAGGAUACCUGGCCCCUCUGUGAACCAAAAUGAUCCAGAUGCUAAGGUUGUUGAGCAUUUGUGGGAACAGGAAUCAAAGAGCCUCCUCACUCCUCUGUGUCUAAUGCAACCCCAUUACAAUUAUAAGUUCUCCUUAAGCCUGAACAGUGUAGAAGAUCAGAAGGUGAGCCUGGGCUCUGAGGCUUCAAAUUCUGGCUCUGCCACUUACUAUCUUCAUGACCUAUACGGUACACAGCAUUCCCAUGCCUCACUCCAUUUGUCUAAGAAACGAGCAUACCAGCCCUGGGCAGUUGGAAAGGUUAUGUGAAAUACCACAGUACUGCAGUACUGGCAAAUGGAACAAUAAAGUCAACAGCAAACUGUGGGGAACUAUAAAAAUGAAUUCAAAUUUCAUUUAAAAGCUUAUUUUCCAGACUGGAAAAGUUCAUCAUUUAAUUCUUUUUCUUUCCCUCAUUUUAAGUGUAUCAUGUUUUGCCUGCAUGCACAUAUGUGCACCAUGUAUGUGCUGUGUCUGAGGAGGCCAGAAAAAGGGCCUUGAGUCCCCUGGAGCUAGUCACAGCAGUUGUAGAGCAUCAUGGAGGUUCUGGACACGGAACUUGGUGCUCUGUGAAAGCAGCCAGUGCUCUUAAGUGUGAGCUAAGUCAUCUCUCCAGCCUCUGAUAAUUUCAUUCUAAGAAUUCUCUAACCUCACCAUGCCUUUUGAAGACUUUUGUUUUUGUUUUUAAAGGCAUAUUCUUCAGAAAGGCAACAAUGUCUACUGUGAAUUUUUUGCUUUGUUUUGUUUUCCUGAGCUGGUCAACAAAAUUUGAAAUCCGUAUUUCAAAAAUUAAAAAGAAUUUGGUGAUUUUG